AAUGUUCGGGAAGAAUCUGAGAAGAACUGGUGCUGUCUUUAAAUGUCUGUUAGAAUUCACCAGUGGAGCCAUUAGACCCAGGGCUUUUCCCUGUCAGGAGGUCUAUGAUAACGGACUCAAUCUCCGAGCUUGACCCAGGGCUUUUCCCUGUCAGAAGGUCUAUGAUAACGGACUCAAUCUCCCAGCUUGACCCAGGGCUUUUCCCUGUCAGGAGGUCUAUGAUAACGGACUCAAUCUCCCAGCUUGACCCAGGGCUUUUCCCUGUCAGGAGGUCUAUGAUAGCGGACUCAAUCUCCCAGCUUGACCCAGCGGCACUGUCCCAGAAACAAAGAAUGGAACAGAAGCUUU